GCAUAUGUUCAUCCUAUGCUUUUGGCUUCAUAAGAUCAAAUGAAAUUCUAAGCAUGCGUGAGGUAAUGCAAAGGUAUGAAUGUAUUUCAUUAUGCAUUUCCCAUAUGUUUGAAAGAUGAUUUGCUUUGAAAAAUAACUUUUUCUUGCUGUCUUAAAAAAACAACUGAUUGUUUUCACGAAACAACCGAUUGUUUUACCUCUGGCACAUUUGAAUAAAGCUGUUAUGAUUUCUUAUGCAUGUUUACAACUAUUUCUUUUCUUUCAUAACCCUUUAUGAGUCAAAUAUGCAUUCUUUGUUCCUCUGAGUUAGAUCAAAAAGAGAUAUAUUCUUUGUUUUCCUUGAAAUUCAAAGUUUUUUUAUGAAUGACAACCACAUUGGUGGUCAUGGGGUUGAUGAAUAUUUGUGAAUGUAUCUUUGGAACGUCUGGAAGGUUUGCUCUUAACAGAAGAGAGAAUAUUUCUACCAAAUCCACCUCUUGAGCAAUCAUUUGACCAAGUUGAAGAUGAACCUUUUGAAGUACUCCAUUGUUGGGUACUGCUGGAUGGAGAAAAGAUAAGAGGAGAAAUUGUGGUCUCCUUGCUGAAAUUUCAGGAGUUUAUGGUAUUUUAGCUCUGCUGCUGUCAUACCUCUGAUACACCAUUGAUCUGCUGCUACACACAUUGGUUUUCUGGAUUAUUUUACUACUGCCAUAACUCGG
rnacentral:lncRNA from 1 species